CCUACGGGUGGCAGCAGUGAGGAAUAUUGGUCAAUGGACGAGAGUCUGAACCAGCCAAGUAGCGUGAAGGAUGACUGCCCUAUGGGUUGUAAACUUCUUUUAUAAAGGAAUAAAACGAGGCACGUGUGCCUUUUUGUAUGUACUUUAUGAAUAAGGAUCGGCUAACUCCGUGCCAGCAGCCGCGGUAAUACGGAGGAUCCGCGCGUUAUCCGGAUUUAUUGGGUUUAAAGGGAGCGUAGAUGGGUUGUUAAGUCAGUUGUGAAAGUUUGCGGCUCAACCGUAAAAUUGCAAUUGAAACUGGCAGUCUUGAGUACAGUUGAGGUAGGCGGAAUUCGUGGUGUAGCGGUGAAAUGCUUAGAUAUCACGAAGAACCCCGAUUGCGAAGGCAGCUUACUAAACUGUGACUGACAUUGAGGCUCGAAAGUGUGGGUAUCAAACAGGAUUAGAUACCCGAGUAGUC
rnacentral:rRNA from 1 species